rnacentral:ncRNA from 12 species
AUCCCUCGAGGUGGUAAAUUUCGUUGCAACCACGCACCUUCGCGGUCAAAAAGAGAUGCAGGAGAGGCGACGCCUGCCGAGGGAU